AAUAAGUGCAGUUUUGCACUAUUCAUGUUCAACGUUUGACCGUCCGUCUUAUUUAAAAAUUUUUUAUGAUUAGUAUUUUUAUUGCUAUUAGAUGAUAAAACAUGAAUAGUACUUUAUGUGUGACUAAAUGUUUUUAAUUUUUUCACAAAUUUUUCAAAUAAGAUGGAUGGUCAAACGUUGAACGUGAAUAGUGCAAAACUGCACUUAUU
rfam:Oryza sativa (indica cultivar-group) chromosome 4, whole genome shotgun sequence.